rnacentral:rRNA from 1 species
AGGAUCAUUCACUGAGCAUGCAGGCCCUUGGGCUGCACAAGCUUUUUUCUUUCUUGAUCAAGGCAAUGUAUUGGAGGCGGGUUAAGGCCCCCUUCAGUUAAUGCCUUCCACCUCAAAAGUGGAUUGUGGUGAUUUGGGAUCAUCGUGUUUGGGGGGCUCAUGGUAUUGGCCAACUGUCAUGAGCUUUUUAUGUGGUUCAUCCUCAGAAUUAUGGUCAUUGAGGAUUGGGUUGUGAAAGCAAUCCGGAAUUGAGAUUGAUUGAGGGUUGGCACUCAGCAUCUUUCUCUUGCAACCAUUUAGACAAAUGGGUUAUUUACAACUUUCAGCAAUGGAUCUCUUGGUUCUCGCAUCGAUGAAGAACGCAGUGAAAUGCGAUAAUUGGUGUGAAUUGCAUCCAAGUAACUCUAAUUUACGAAUAACACCAAGUGAAUCAUCGAGUCUUUGAACGCAAUUGCGCCCUCUCGGUCGCUUCCAAUUUUUUUGGGGGGUUGACUCAUAGGGGGUACAUCUGUUUGAGGGUCAUUUAAUCUCUCAAAGGAUUGGUCAAUCUAUCCUUUGGAUUUUGGGUCUUGCUGUGAAGUGUAUUUCUCAGCUUACCUUGAAAAUAUUAGCAAGCUUUGUUUUUUGGUCAUCUCUAAUGAGGCGUUCUAAUUUUAUCCAAAGAGCCUUUAUUUUGACUACUUGCUUCUAACCAUCCCCUUGAAGGGAUAUUAUUGGUUCUCAAUGAGUUCCAAGCCUGUAUUGACCUCAAAUCAGAUGAGAAUACCCGCUGAACUUAAGCAUAUCAAUAAGCGGAGGAAAAGAAACUAACAAGGAUUCCCUCAGUAACGGCGAGUGAAGAGGGAAGAGCUCAGUUUUGAAAUCUGGCAGCAUCUUGUUGCCCGAGUUGUAAAUUGAAGAGAAUGUCAUCCACAUUGGACCAUGUCUAAAUUGUAAUCAUCCACAGUCCUUUGAUGGAGUAUCAGAGAGGGUAAUAAUCCCGUCUUUAACAUGGACUACCAGUGUUGAUGUGAUGCACUCUCUCAGAGUCGAGUAGUUUGGGAAUGCUGCUCUAAUGGGAGGUAAACUCCUUCUAAAGCUAAAUAUUGGCGAGAGACCGAUAGCGAACAAGUACCGUGAGGGAAAGAUGAAAAGAACUCUGAAAAGAGAGUCAAACAGAACGUGAAAUUGCUGAAAGGGAAGCGUUUGGAGUCAGAUGCAUCUUCAUGUUGUACUGCUCAGUUGGCAGAGACUGAGAGUGGUGACUUGAAGAUGGGCCAGCACUCACGUAGACCAUUGGAGAAGGGGUCAUGGAAUGUAGCUCAAAUUUUUUUUGAGUGUUUAUAGCCUUGAUUCGCAUACAAUGUGUCUUAUGUGAGGCUAACACACAGCACGAGUCCUUGGCUC